AGUGAACGCUGGCGGCAGGCCUAACACAUGCAAGUCGAACGGCAGCACAGUAAGAGCUUGCGCUUACGGGUGGCGAGUGGCGGACGGGUGAGGAAUACAUCGGAAUCUACUUUUUCGUGGGGGAUAACGUAGGGAAACUUACGCUAAUACCGCAUACGACCUACGGGUGAAAGCAGGGGAUCUUCGGACCUUGCGCGAUUGAACGAGCCGAUGUCGGAUUAGCUAGUUGGCGGGGUAAAGGCCCACCAAGGCGACGAUCCGUAGCUGGUCUGAGAGGAUGAUCAGCCACACUGGAACUGAGACACGGUCCCGACUCCUACGGGAGGCAGCAGUGGGGAAUAUUAGGCAAUGGGGGCAAGCCUGAUCCAGCCCUACCGCGUGGGUGAAGAAGGCCUUCGGGUUGUAGAGCCCUUUUGUUGGGAGAGAAAAGCAGCAGGUUAAUACCCCGCUGUUCUGACGGUACCCAAAGAAUAAGCACCGGCUAACUUCGUG
rnacentral:rRNA from 1 species